AGAGUUUGAUCCUGGCUCAGGACGAACGCUGGCGGCGUGCCUAACACAUGCAAGUCGAACGAAACUUUUUGCUUCGGUAGAAAGUUUAGUGGCGGACGGGUGAGUAACGCGUGAGGAACCUGCCUUUCAGAGGGGGAUAAUGUCUGGAAACGGACACUAAUACCGCAUGACAUUUUCUGUUCACAUGGACAGAAAAUCAAAGGAGCAAUCUGCUGAAAGAUGGACUCGCGUCCGAUUAGCUAGAUGGUGAGAUAAUAGCCCACCAUGGCGACGAUCGGUAGCCGGACUGAGAGGUUGAACGGCCACAUUGGGACUGAGACACGGCCCAGACUCCUACGGGAGGCAGCAGUGGGGGAUAUUGCACAAUGGAGGAAACUCUGAUGCAGCAACGCCGCGUGAAGGAAGACGGUCUUCGGAUUGUAAACUUUUGUACCUAGGGACGAUAAUGACGGUACCUAGGCAGCAAGCUCCGGCUAACUACGUGCCAGCAGCCGCGGUAAUACGUAGGGAGCGAGCGUUGUCCGGAUUUACUGGGUGUAAAGGGUGCGUAGGCGGCCAAGCAAGUCAGCUGUGAAAACUAUGGGCUUAACCCAUAGCCUGCAAUUGAAACUGUUUGGCUUGAGUGAAGUAGAGGUAGGUGGAAUUCCCGGUGUAGCGGUGAAAUGCGUAGAGAUCGGGAGGAACACCAGUGGCGAAGGCGACCUACUGGGCUUUAACUGACGCUGAAGCACGAAAGCAUGGGUAGCAAACAGGAUUAGAUACCCUGGUAGUCCAUGCUGUAAACGAUGAUUACUAGGUGUGGGGGGUCUGACCCCUUCCGUGCCGGAGUUAACACAAUAAGUAAUCCACCUGGGGAGUACGACCGCAAGGUUGAAACUCAAAGGAAUUGACGGGGGCC
rnacentral:rRNA from 1 species